GUGGGGAAUAUUGGGCAAUGGGGGAAACCCUGAUCCAGCAAUGCCGCGUGCAGGAAGAAGGCCUUCGGGUUGUAAACUGCUUUUGUACGGAACGAAACGGUCUGGGUUAAUACCCUGGGCUAAUGACGGUACCGUAAGAAUAAGCACCGGCUAACUACGUGCCAGCAGCCGCGGUAAUACGUAGGGUGCGAGCGUUAAUCGGAAUUACUGGGCGUAAAGCGUGCGCAGGCGGUUUUGUAAGACAGACGGGAAAGCCCCGGGCUUAACCUGGGAAUGGCGCUUGUGACUGCAAAGCUGGAGUGCGGCAGAGGGGGAUGGAAUUCCGCGUGUAGCAGUGAAAUGCGUAGAUAUGCGGAGGAACACCGAUGGCGAAGGCAAUCCCCUGGGCCUGCACUGACGCUCAUGCACGAAAGCGUGGGGAGCAAACAGGAUUAGAAACCCUGGUAGUCC
rnacentral:rRNA from 1 species